rnacentral:sRNA from 1 species
UUGAAAGUCAUGGAGACUGAAGUACUCCAUUUACCCACAGAAACAGCUACAGCAUGGAUAACAGCACAGAAAGUUUCCCUCUCCCUGGCUUGCAGUGUACCUCAACCCUGUCCUGGAGGAACCACUUCUAGGAGUGAAAAAAUAGUUCAGUCUCCAUGUUCUUUCAUUAUUUGGCACCU